UUCUUCUUUGUUGUUUUCAGUGUUUUCUCUUUCUCAUUGAUCUCGACAGUGUUGUGGUGCUCGUUACCUUACUGAGACAUCUCUUGUGACCGUGGUCAGUGUCACCAACGGCGGAACGAGGUGGAGCACCGGGAUCGAGCGUGAAAAAACGCUCUGCAUUAGCAGCUCCUGUAGUGUAGAAUGUUUUCUGCGAUGUCGCAUCCAAAGUCAACAGAGCCAAGGUGCAAGCCAGCGUGAGAGAUCUCGUAUAGGAUGUGAGCUGAAGACGAUAAUGUGGGCAAAUGUAAAACUACCAACUGGAGUGUGCUAUGGUGUUAGGGACAUGUCCCAAAGUGUCAUCACAUGGCUGUGGAGACUAGUACACACAUUGAGGAAUAUUUCUACAACAGUGAUACGGAGUGAUAUGGAGUACAGAUGGAUGGAUAGAAAAGAAAACUGAGAUGAUGGGAAGUAAGUACAUGUCAUCCCUUGCAAUGACCCUUGGAGUGCCUGAGGACAUUGGUCACAUCGUACGGGAACGGCGUUUGCGCUGGCUUGGACACGUGACACGGAUGGAAAAUUACGGGUUGCCCAAGUGUGUUCUCUUCGGUGAACUGCCUGCCCCGCGCCCCGCGCAUGGUCCACGCAAGAGGUGGAGGACGUCAUUAUGGAUGACGUUUCGUCGGUUGAGCCACCGGUACCAACAUGUUGAUGGUACGGUGCAGCCCAGAACCUUCCGGAGUGGCGUACCAUUCGCCGUCGACCACCCAAGGCACCCUCUGCUGCUGGCUACGGGGUGCGCCUGCGGCCGCAUGUUCCGUCGAAGCGGCGACCUGAAACGUCAUCAGUCGUUCUGUCGUGGACUGGAGAAAUAACAAUGCGCCAUCAUUGCUACGCAAUGGGCAAAGUCAAGGUUCAAGGCAAGAUGCACGUCAUGAAGCAUUCGGCCCGUGAUCUCAGCGUCUGGUAGCUUAUGUAGCCGUGGUUGUAUGGGUGAUCAAAGAUGAUACUCUGCAUAUCAAUGUAAGUGUGAAGUAUUUGUGCUCUGCCCAUACAACACAGCAACAACGACAAAGUUACAUAGCCAGUGGCUGGCAAUGGUGAAGUAAUCAUAUGAAUAUGUGUUAGUAUUCCUGACCUAUUGUAAGCAAGUAAGCUCAUCAUUACUACAAGACUAAUAGUAUUACUAGCAGCAGACAUGACGUCAUUCUCCUGUUUACAUACCUGUAAUAUCUGUAUCUACAGCUGUAGCAGCAGUGGGUACCAUGGCAACACAGUACACACUUUAUCUCCCUCCCAUGUUCAGUUUUACUGCUCUGCACACACCAUCGUGGUGUGGUUGGCGUGUGUUGUGUGUGUUUUGUUCUCAGCAUCUUCAGCAUAGUACACGUAGUGAAUCAUGUACCGGGUUACUUUCCAUCGCCUGCUGCCUCCGCCGCCGUUUACGUAUCAUUUUUAUUGAGAUGACGUGAGUUUACCGUGAUCAGUGAUUUCCCCGUCACCCCGCCUUGCCUGCUGUCAUACUGAAAGCUUUCCAAUCUAUUGAAUCUAUCCUUUUUGUUCUUGCCUGCAACAGCAAUCAACACUCUACCAUCUA